rnacentral:rRNA from 1 species
AUUGAACGCUGGCGGCAGGCCUAACACAUGCAAGUCGAGCGAGCGGCGGACGGGUGAGUAAUUUAUGGGGAUCUGCCCGAGAGAGGGGGAUAACUACUGGAAACGGUGGAUAAUACCGCAUACAAUCGGAUGUACCCUUUUGGGAUUAGCUAGUAGGUGGGGUAAAGGCUCAACUAGGCGACGAUCCCUAGAUGGUAUGAGAGGAUGAUCAGCCACACUGGGACUGAGACACGGCCCAGACUCCUACGGGAGGCAGCAGUGGGGAAUAUUGCACAAGGGGCGCAAGCCUGAUGCAGCCAUGCCGCGUGUAGGAAGAAGGCCUUAGGGUUGUAAAGUACUUUCAGCGGGGAGGCGUUACCCGCAGAAGAAGCACCGGCUAACUCCGUGCCAGCAGCCGCGGUAAUAC